UGUGCAAGCUGGCUUGUCGCCGUCCCGCUUCUUGGCGGGAGGGAGGAAAGUCCGGGCAACAUAGAGCGCCAUACUUCCUAACGGGAAGGGAUCAAGUUGGUGACGGCUUGGUUACAGAAAGUGCCACAGAAAAUAUACCGCCCCGAUCAGAUCGGGGUAAGGGUGAAAUGGUGGGGUAAGAGCCCACCGCUCUGGUGGUGACACCAGGGGCAGGGUAAACCUUAUGGGUUGAAAAACCAAAUAGGUCCCGCACCGAAUUCAAUUUCGGAAAAGGCGGCUCGUCUUUCUGCGGGAUGGGUAGGUUGAUGGAUCCUUGUUGUGAAGCAAGGGCUAGAUAAAUGACAGGCACUCUUUUUGUCAGACAAAAAGAGUACAGAACCCGGCUUAUAGGCUUGCACACUUU
rfam:Belliella pelovolcani strain DSM 46698 genome assembly, contig: Ga0111625_117